rnacentral:rRNA from 1 species
GUCGAGGGGCGCAUUUCAGUUUGCUUGCAACUGGAGAUGGCGACCGGCGCACGGGUGAGUAACACGUAUCCAACCUGCCGAUAACUCGGGGAUAGCCUUUCGAAAGAAAGAUUAAUACCCGAUGGCAUAAUUAGACCGCAUGGUCUUAUUAUUAAAGAAUUUCGGUUAUCGAUGGGGAUGCGUUCCAUUAGGCAGUUGGUGAGGUAACGGCUCACCAAACCUUCGAUGGAUAGGGGUUCUGAGAGGAAGGUCCCCCACAUUGGAACUGAGACACGGUCCAAACUCCUACGGGAGGCAGCAGUGAGGAAUAUUGGUCAAUGGGCGCAGGCCUGAACCAGCCAAGUAGCGUGAAGGAUGACUGCCCUAUGGGUUGUAAACUUCUUUUAUAUGGGAAUAAAGUUUUCCACGUGUGGAAUUUUGUAUGUACCAUAUGAAUAAGGAUCGGCUAACUCCGUGCCAGCAGCCGCGGUAAUACGGAGGAUCCGAGCGUUAUCCGGAUUUAUUGGGUUUAAAGGGAGCGUAGGUGGACAGUUAAGUCAGUUGUGAAAGUUUGCGGCUCAACCGUAAAAUUGCAGUUGAUACUGGCUGUCUUGAGUACAGUAGAGGUGGGCGGAAUUCGUGGUGUAGCGGUGAAAUGCUUAGAUAUCACGAAGAACUCCGAUUGCGAAGGCAGCUCACUGGACUGCAACUGACACUGAUGCUCGAAAGUGUGGGUAUCAAACAGGAUUAGAUACCCUGGUAGUCCACACAGUAAACGAUGAAUACUCGCUGUUUGCGAUAUACAGUAAGCGGCCAAGCGAAAGCAUUA